GAUGAACGCUGGCGGCGUGCCUAAUACAUGCAAGUCGAGCGAACAGAUAAGGAGCUUGCUCCUUUGACGUUAGCGGCGGACGGGUGAGUAACACGUGGGUAACCUACCUAUAAGACUGGAAUAACUCCGGGAAACCGGGGCUAAUGCCGGAUAACAUUUAGAACCGCAUGGUUCUAAAGUGAAAGAUGGUUUUGCUAUCACUUAUAGAUGGACCCGCGCCGUAUUAGCUAGUUGGUAAGGUAACGGCUUACCAAGGCAACGAUACGUAGCCGACCUGAGAGGGUGAUCGGCCACACUGGAACUGAGACACGGUCCAGACUCCUACGGGAGGCAGCAGUAGGGAAUCGUCCGCAAUGGGCGAAAGCCUGACGGAGCAACGCCGCGUGAGUGAUGAAGGUCUUCGGAUCGUAAAACUCUGUUAUUAGGGAAGAACAAAUGUGUAAGUAACUGUGCACGUCUUGACGGUACCUAAUCAGAAAGCCACGGCUAACUACGUG
rnacentral:rRNA from 1 species